CAGGUCUUGACAUCUGAAUGUAACACCUAGGGAUAGGUGCCCUCUUCGGAGCAUUCAAGACAGGUGGUGCAUGGUUGUCGUCAGCUCGUGUCGUGAGAUGUUGGGUUAAGUCCCGUAACGAGCGCAACCCUUGUCCUUAGUUACCAGCACGUAAUGGUGGGCACUCUAAGGAGACUGCCGGUGACAAACCGGAGGAAGGUGGGGAUGACGUCAAGUCCUCAUGGCCCUUAUGGGUAGGGCUUCACACGUCAUACAAUGGUACAUACAGAGGGUCGCCAACCCGCGAGGGGGAGCUAAUCCCAGAAAGUGUAUCGUAGUCCGGAUUGUAGUCUGCAACUCGACUACAUGAAGUUGGAAUCGCUAGUAAUCGCGGAUCAGCAUGUCGCGGUGAAUACGUUCCC
rnacentral:rRNA from 1 species